GGAGUCUGGGCCGUGUCUCAGUCCCAAUGUGGCCGAUCACUCUCUCAAGUCGGCUACUGAUCGUUGCUUUGGUAGGCCGUUACCCUGCCAACUGGCUAAUCAGACGCGGGUCCAUCUCAUACCACCGGAGUUUUUCACACUGCACCAUGCGGUGCUGUGCGCUUAUGCGGUAUUAUCAGUCGUUUCCAACUGCUAUCCCCCAGUAUGAGGCAGGUUACCCACGCGUUACUCACCCGUCCGCCACUAAGUGAUUCAAAUGAAUUCCAUCUGAGCAAGCUCUUCAGGUCUUCGGGAGAACCACUCCGUUCGACUUGCAUGUGUUAAGCACGCCGCCAGCGUUUAUC
rnacentral:rRNA from 1 species